CAGUAGCCGCGGUAAUACGAAGGGUGCAAGCGUUAAUCGGAAUUACUGGGUGUAAAGCGUGCGUAGGCGGUGAGUUAAGUCUGCUGUGAAAUCCCCGGGCUCAACCUGGGAAUGGCAGUGGAUACUGGCUCGCUAGAGUGUGUCAGAGGAUGGUGGAAUUCCCGGUGUAGCGGUGAAAUGCGUAGAGAUCGGGAGGAACAUCAGUGGCGAAGGCGGCCAUCUGGGACAACACUGACGCUGAGGCACGAAAGCGUGGGGAGCAAACAGGAUUAGAUACCCGAGUAGUCCCUGUCUCUUAUAC
rnacentral:rRNA from 1 species